GAUGUUUUUGUUUUAUCCAAAUAUAUGUUCAUUUUAAUCUGAUGUAGCAUGUUCAUCUCUUCAUUGUUAAUAACUUUUGAAUAAUUUUUUUCUUUUACAUUGUUAAAAACAUAUAUGUCUUAAAACUUUAUUUCUGCCAGACGUGGUGGCUCACGCCUAUAAUCCCAGCAUUUUGGGAGGCCAAGGUGGGCAGAUCACAAGGUCAAGAGAUCAAGACCAUCCUGGCCAACAUGGUGAAACCCUGUCUCUACUAAAAAAUAAAAAUUAGCUGGGCAUGGUGGCACGUGCCUAUAAUCCCAGCUACUUGGGAGGCUGAGGCAGGAAAAUUGCUUGAACCAGGAGGCAGAGGUUGCAGUUAGCCAAGAUCUUGCCACUGCACUCCAGCCUGGCACCUGGUAACAGAGUGAGACUCUGUCUCAAAAAAAAAAAAAAAAAAACUUUAUUUCAAAGCCGUUUUCAAACAGACACUAACAAUGGAUUGGUCAAAACAUCAGUCCAGAUGAUGAUUUGAUUUUUGCAUUUUACACCUUUUAAAACCAUCCUGCAUUUUGAAAUGUAACCUCAGUGAACUAGGCUCUCACUGGUUGUUCCUAUCGCUCUCCCAGGUAUUUCCAGGUCACCAGCAUAUUAAUUAAUGUCUCUUCUUUUUAAUCCGAUCUGGGUAUUAAGUAAGGCUUAUUUCCCCUCUCAUGUUUACCUCAUUAUAGCUUUAUAGUAUUGAUUUAAAAGUUUUUCUUCAUUCGGGGGAGAAAGCAUCAUUUUCAUAUUCAAAGAAAAAAUUGGAAGACUAAACUCAUAAGGAAAACGGGAAGACUUAAGACUUCAUACCAUCCUGAGCUGUCACUUUUGACUCAUACAAGAUGACUUUAAGAUCAUACAAAUAUAUAAAUCACCUGACAGUUAUCACCAUGUCCUCAGCAACAACAGCAAAUAACAAAAAAACUUCUUUCCUAGAAAGUCUUAGUUGACUGACCCCCAUCAAGAAAGGACUUAGAAGAGAGAAAGAAGAACACUUCUCUCUCUUUUUCUUAAUGCAGCAAAUUGAGUCUUACAGGUACUGCUUUUUCAUGGGUCAUCAGUGCUUCUGUAAGGUUUUUAAUAAAACCUCACAGAUCACCAUUGUUUGCUUGUUAGCCAGCUUAGUUAAGCACUGAAUGGGUAGGAAACAGAGAUGAUGCUACAGCAGCUAAAACAAAUUUGAGAGAGAUUAUUUGUGCAUUUAAAGUAAUUCCAAUGCUUUUAAUUUCUAGUACAACAAAUGGAUGUGCUGAUGAUAGGUACAACUUAAAAUCUGAGAAUACAUUUUUUAUAAUUUGUUUUAGCAAAAAAUAAGUCUACAUGAGAAUUAUAAUUUUUUUUUAAGACAGGGUCUUGCUUUGGCACCCAAGUUAGAGUGCAAUGACAUGAUCAUAACUCACUGCAGCCUCAAACUUCUGGGCUCAAGACAUCCUCCUGCUUAAGCCUCCUGAGUAGCUGGGACUAGUAUGUGCCACCAUGACUGGCUUUUUUUUUUUAGAAAAGGCAUCUCACUAUGUUGCCAAUACUGGUCUUGAACUCCUAGCCUCAAGUGAUCCUCUGCCUCAGCCUCUCAAAGCACUGGGGUUACAUGCCACUUAAGCCACCACACCUGGCCUGAUAUUUUAAGUGCCCACUAUUGGAUGGGAAGGCAGAAGGAGGGGAAGAGGUAAAGCCGAUUUAUUAGGAACAUCUUUGUGAAUCAGAAACAUGAUGGAAGACAUCCUUUGAGGUAUUCUGUUACUGGAAGCCAACAUAGAUUUGAUAUAUUAGAUUCAGUUAAUCAGGUUUUAAAGUUUGGACAUGUUGUUCUCAAGUAAUUUUUAAAAGCAUAUAUUCAGGAAUUCAUGACGAACUUAAUUAUGAAAUGGAUGUCAGCUUCUACAGUAAUUUACUUGAUCUUUCUCUGCAACUAAGGAACUUUGAAUAAAAAACUGCAAGUUUAAGAAUGUUAACCUUUAUCUUGUAGGUUAAUAUAUAUUUAUUAGUGACAGCUUGUUUUUUCUAGUUUCUACUUUUUGAGAAAAGCAGUUAGCAUAGUACAAUUUAAGAGUUUGCUGCUUUUUUAACAGUUUUUUAUUAGGUAUGAUAAGGACAUUUAUUAACAUCCAUGGUCAGCAGCAAAACAUUAUUGAAUAAGAAUAUUUUUUGUUUAUUUUCAUUUUAAAUGGCUUCUGUAUUUGGGGACUGGUUGAGACUGUUUAAAUGUCUUUUUUGUUUCAUUUUCUUCCUGUUUUAUCUCCAUCUUAAUUUUUAGGUAUCUAUAAAACUGUCAACCACCACAGACUGAAGGAAAUGUUUUCCUUUUGUCCCAGAGCUUUUUCACCUGGGAUACCUAGUUUCAUACCACUGCGCUAGUGUCUCUGCAACCUUUGGAGUAAAUAAAACUGAAUCCAAGCCCCAUCUCUUCAGGUCCUGUCUCUGGAAGAAUAUCCUAGUACAUCCAGGAAACUUGGAACGACAGAAAUUCUGAAAAUCGAUUAAAUUGCCUGGAAGCAAUAGAUCCUAAAGAGAUCAAACUUUAUUACUCUGAAGAUUUUUCUUGUGGACUUUGGCAUAAAAAGUGCAGAUUUAAUAACUCAGCUAAUGUGCGCAAAAUCAUUCAUUUUAGCCUACUCACCUAAUUCUAUAUCUACUUUCUAAUAUUUCCCUUCUUAAUGGUAUCAUUCCUCUUAAACCCUUUGACUGCAUGUAUAGGAAUCUUUCAGAAAUUAGGUCAUCAUGCAACAUUAAACUUUAAUAACUGGAUGUACAGGGCACAGAAGCAAAUAUAUCAAAUUGCUUUUGUUAAUCAGAAUCACAUUCUUUACAAGAGCUUAAUACCAGUAUCGCCAAGUUGAUGAAAUCAUUUAGCACAAUUGAAGAAUAUGAAAUGAGACCACUGAUGUGAAGGUAUCUUAUAAAGUGGAAAGGGCUGUAUAAAUGUUAGGUUUAAAAUAUUAAAUCAAUAACUUGGAAAAA